rnacentral:rRNA from 1 species
GACGAACCGUGCGAACGUUAUUCGGAAUCACUGGGCUUAAAGCGCGUGUAGGCGGGACGGAACGUCUGUCGCUGAAAUCCCCCGGCUUAACCGGGGAACUGGCGUAGAUACGACCGUCCUUGAGGGCGUAGGGGGACCUGGAACUUCCGGUGGAGCGGUGAAAUGCGCAGAUAUCAGGAGGAACACCGAUGGCGAAGGCAGCUCGCUGGGACGGUACUGACGCUGAGACGCGAAAGCGUGGGGAGCAAACAGG